rnacentral:lncRNA from 1 species
UUCUUUUUUUUCUUAUCUAUUUGUAAGGCACAUGGUUUAAUUAUAUACUAAGAUGAGAUCUUGUGUUGAUCUCAAAGUAGUGGUUUCACCUAAUAAUUAAACCUUUCUCUUAAGUCAUACACAAGGUCCAAUUAAAUGCCAAAUUCAAAUCUCAUACUGAUCUUAAUACAGCGGAGUCACUUUUUAGUUGGAUCUAAUUCAAAAUUUAGAGAUUGGAAAACAAGGCUAAGGGUAGUAUAAGUAGUUAAAAAUUUUAACACAUGGCUACCAUAAAAAUUAGAUGGAUAAGUUAAAAG